ensembl:lncRNA
UAUCAUUCACAGAAAUUUCAUUUUACAAUCAAGAUAUGAUUUAGACUAGACAAAAGCAAAGAGUUGAUAGCACAGACAUUCCCAUCUUAAUCUAUACAUACAUAACAUUAACACCGUUGUGCUGUUUUUUUUCUUUUAAUAUGAUCUGCUUAGAAGGCAUAUUAUUCCUUAAACAAACUAACACAAGUUCUCAAGUUACUUCAGGAUAGUUAUUUCAAAAGACAAUGCAAUAUUUCAUAAUAAACAUUUAUAAUUAGGUUUUUAACAAAGUAAUUCAUCAUAUAAACAAAUGAAUCAGUCAGACACUAAAUAAAUAUUUGUACUGGUAAAUACUAGCAUUUUGCUUAUAUCAUGUAGGACCUGAUCCUGCAAGCCCUCUGCAUACAUCUUUAUCCCCACUGAAUGACUGAUGUAAUUUCUUCUUCUAAUCUACUAUUUUACUUUGAGCUGAGCAAAUACUUUCUAGCCACUAAGUUAGGUAAUUGAAAUAAGCACUGGAAUACAUCCCAGCAGACAAUGAUUUCCUUAGAUGUCUUUGUAUAUAAUAUUUUUUUUUAUGUUUAUGAAAUCAUCACAAACAUUUAUCAACAGGCAUUCAGGUUUUGGUAUUUACAAUCUGAUUUGCAUCAGUUAGUCAAGAUUGAUCAAAUGAAUUGUAUGUUCCUCGUUCUUGGCUCUCUGACUGAACAAAGCCUGACCUUUGCACUCAAUUUAAAGAGCAGUUUCCUAUAAUUAUUUCAUAGCUAAUACCAAACUUUACUUUCUCCAGAUAUUUGAGCUAACAAUACUGGGUUAGGAAUGCAAGAGCCUCUGGGACAAUAACAAGCUGAGCUUCUCCUUGGGGAGGGCAGACAAGCAUGAAUUACCUUUUAUCUGUUCUCAUCUACAACAAUUACUGUCUUCUCCAAGGCAAUGGGGAUGGCUUUUUUAAAGAAUACAAAAAGCUGUGCCCAGACUCUUAAUUCUGAGUUUACUCCUUUUCAGACACUAACUGACCUACACAGCCUCUUCGUGCCUUAGGAAAUUUACCAGGAUACCUUCAUACAGGUAGAUGUGUUGGUGAAUUCCAAUCUCUUAGCUGUUUCUUGAAAAGAAACACAGAAGAAAUCAGUUACGACUGAAAAACUUACAAACUUGAAUUCAUUAAUUGUUUACUUUUCCCUGCCCAGCCAGGUCUAUUUGAAAUAUAGUUUAAAACCAAGGGUACUGAGGCUAUUAGAUACACUUGCUGUAUUUAGUUUGGCUGAAUUCUGAUGGUUUCUUGGAUGCCUUUAAGCUCUUACCACACUAUAACAUAAAAAGUGCCAAGCACAUGGCAAAAAUAAUGACAGUUAUAAAAGAAUUGCUGCCUGAACUGAAAAGAGGAACAUACUUUGAAAUUACUUCCUCUAUAUAUCUAUAUAUAUAGGGAUAUACACACACGCACACACACACAUUUUCACUAUCCCUAUAUAAACACUUAUCUAAAAUACAGAAAUUGAUUUUUUUAUUUCUUCUCUUGGUAUCAUUUUAAAGACUUUACUCCAUGAAUCCACAAUAUGACAACUUCAGGCUGUCCAGAGAGAUAAAUCUUAACACAGUCUUCCAACCUCCACUAACAUAAAUAUAUUGGGAAGGAACUUUGACCAGCAAUAGUAAAUUUUGCAACUUAAAUAAUUAUUCUACCAUUAUUUUAACAACAGAUUGCUACUGAGUACCAAUAUUCAUGAAAAAAGUAAAAAUAAAAAAAAAA